rnacentral:lncRNA from 1 species
AUUUGAAGAGAUAUUGGUUUGAGUCAUACUAUGCAUAUAGAUAAGGGGAAACUCUAAUGUGGAGCUAGAGUGUUAAAGCUGAGUGUGUAAAUGUGUGAAUAACCUGUUCACAAGUGGCCAAUGAAUCCACAGAAGUGCAUAAGACUCCCCAGGAAGAGGAGAGGAAAGAAGAAAUCCACAGGCAAGACUUAGAAGAACAUGGACACACAGAGGUAGAAAUGUGAAGAACCGAUCAUGGGGCCAGUACAGGCAGAGCCAGAAGAGUUUUCUACCAUGAACGUCAAGAAAGGAAAGCGCAGUACAGGCAUGGUGGUACAUACCUGCAAUCCCAACACUCCAGAGGCUGAGGCAGCAGGAUUACCACAAGUUCAAGGCCAGCCUGGACUACACAGUGAGACCUCACAGAGAAAGUGAGGGAAAGGGGGAUACAGACAAACAGAGACAGACAGAAAAGAAAACGAAACAAAAGAAAAGAGCAAGGUAAGUAGAUCUGACUUAUCUCAACAGAAGAAUGAGUGGAUACCAGCCUAAUCCUUGAACUCCCACAGACUCCUCCUUCCUAAUAAUGCAACGACCUGCACUGCCAUAUAGCUGUGAUAUUCUUUCUUCCUC